CCGUAGCUCAGUUGGAUUAGAGCGUCUGACUACGAAUCAGAAGGCCGGGGGUUCGAGUCCUCCCGGG
rnacentral:tRNA from 1 species